rnacentral:rRNA from 1 species
UACGUAGGGAGCCAGCGUUGUUCGGAUUUACUGGGCGUAAAGGGCGCGUAGGCGGCAAUUCAAGUCAUCUGUGAAAUCUCCGGGCUUAACUCGGAACGGUCAGAUGAUACUGCUUUGCUAGAGUGCAGAAGGGGCAAUCGGAAUUCUCGGUGUAGCGGUGAAAUGCGUAGAUAUCGAGAGGAACACCAGAGGUGAAGACGGGUUGCUGGGCUGACACUGACGCUGAGGCGCGAAAGCCAGGGGAGCAAACGGG